rnacentral:lncRNA from 1 species
GUUUGAGACCUGACGGUCCAAAAUUAUGGCAUGAGACCCUCAACUCAGCAACAUUACUAUUAGAAUUCUGGGAUUGAUUUCUCAAUAUGUCAAGUAAUGACAGACCAGUAGGCAAGUGGAAGAACUCGUCCACGUCCAUAAAACCAACCCACUCACAUACAUCCCUUGCUCGUAACGACCAGUAGGCAAGUGGAAGAACUCGUCUACGUCCAUAAAACCAACCCACUCACACACAUCCCUUGCUCGUAACGCACAAUGAGCAAAACCAGCCUCCUGAGUCUUGAUCCAAGGCCAA